rnacentral:rRNA from 1 species
GCACGAGCGCAACCUCGCCUUAGUGCCAGCAUUUAGUUGGGCACUCUAAGGGGACUGGCCGGUGAUAAGCCGAGAGGAAGUGGGGAUGACGUCAAGUCCGUCAUGGCCCUUACGGGCUGGGCUACACACGUGCUACAAUGGUGGUGACAGUGGGCAGCGAGCACGCGAGUGUGAGCUAAUCUCCAAAAGCCAUCUCAGUUCGGAUUGCACUCUGCAACUCGAGUGCAUGAAGUUGGAAUCGCUAGUAAUCGCGGAUCAGCAUGCCGCGGUGAAUACGUUCCCGGGCCUU